ACUGCCCUUAAUCCUUUAAAAAGUGAAAAUUUAUUCCCAUCUCCUUACCAAACUUAUGACUAUAUGGGCGUUGCCGACGGCGUUGGCGGCUGGCGCGACUCUGGCGUGGAUCCUUCUAUUUUUCCUUGGGCUUUAAUGAACACUUGCACCUCAAUUAUAUCCUCUUUGUCUAAAAAAGAAUCUAUUUUUAUGCCUGUUAACUUAUUGGACUUAGCUUUAAAAAAAGUAACGUUUCAAAAAAAUUGUUAAAGCCGGAAGUAGUACAGUCUGUUUGGCUUUGUUUGAUAGAGCUAAACGGUUAUUGCACGGGGCUAACAUAGGCGAUUCAGGAUUGUGUGUGGUGCGAAAAAAUAAGAUGAUUUUUAAAACCUCUGGACAACAGCACUAUUUUAACGCACCUUUUCAGGUGGGUGUGGUACCACCAAAUCUCCUACAGGAAUCUUUACUUAACAGUGCUAAAGAUUCUGAAAUAUUUGAGAUACCACUAGAGAAAGACGAUUUUGUUAUUUUGGCUACAGACGGAAUUUUUGAUAAUCUUUUUGAUCAUGAAGUUGAAGAAUGCAUUAAAAAACAU